UAAUGCGCGAAUCAAAUCGAAACCUUGACAUCCCCCCCCGGGCAUACCUGGGGAAUUUGCUUGUUUAGUAUUUUAAGAAGGCGGGAAUUUGACCUUUUUUCCUAGUGGAAGGUGGGGAAUUUGAAGGGGGUCGGGAAUUUGAAUUUUUCUUUUAAACACGUGUGCAGAAUCCAAAAUGGCGUCAAUGAUUAAUGGAUGAGUUCAAGGUCUUCAAGUGCAAAGGAAUUAACUUUGUCCUUGGUUGGCUACAAGAAAACGGCUUUGAACGAUUGAAGAGAGUUUUUGAAGGAAAGAAAAACUUUGAAAUUCCAAAAUUGCGAAAUGCUGUAGCUUCCAAUUCGUACAUGGGGUGGGGCAUUUGAACUCCAAUUUUUCCCAAUACGUGGUGUAUUUGAACGGGAAUUACAAAUAUAUGUAGGGAAUUUGACCUGACCAAAACGUCAAAAUCCAAAUUCCCGGGGGUAUGCCCGGGGGGGGAUGUCAAAGUUUCGAUUUGAUUCGCGCAU